UCUCCCAUAGCUUAGUUGGUAGAGCGUAAUGCUUAUAUCCUCACAUUCUUCGGAAGUGAAUAUGCCUGGUAGCACAAUCUCGCAAGAGACGUUAAUGUCACGGGUUCGAGUCCCGUUGGGAGAA
rnacentral:tRNA from 1 species